UAUGGUUUCGUUCCACGAACGAACUAAAAUCUUUAUUAAAAAUUAUUUUGCCUUUUGUAAAAACAGAAGAUAUGCUGCAAAAAUGCAUUCUUCUGUACAAAGACCCUAAACUUCAACAACGCUGGAUCUCUGAAAUCGUUAAACUAUCCCCUUUUCCUUUAUCUGUUGUAGAUAAAUACUAUCAACAGAAAAAAGAAAAAUGGAAAAAGUAUAAAACAUCAGAGAAUGAUAUAGUCCAAUCUUUAUAGAGAUAUAAAGCAUAAUGACCCCAGUAGUCCACGCUGUAAACGAUGCACAUUAGGUGCUAGGGAGUAUCGACCCUCUUUAGUACCAUAGCUAACGCGUUAAAUGUGCCGCCUGGGGAGAACGGCCGCAAGGCUAAAACGCAAAGGAAUUGACGGGGACCUGCACAAGCGGUGGAGCAUGUGGUUUAAUUCGACGGUAAGCGAGGAACCUUACCAAGGCUUGACAUACAGCUGCAAAUCUUUGGAAACAGAGACUUCUUCGAGAGUGCUGUACAGGUGCUGCACGGUUGUCGUCAGCUCGUGCCGUGAGGUGUUCACUUAAGUGUGAAAACGAGCGCAACCCCUAUUGCAAGUUACAAGUGUCUUGCGAAACUGCCCGCGUUUAAGCGGGAGGAAGGUGGGGAUGACGUCAAAUCAGCGUGGCUCUUACGCCUUGGGCGACACACGUGCUACAAUGGGUAGAACAAAGGGACGCCAAGGAGCAAUCCGGAGCAAAUCCCAUCAAUACUACCCCCAGUUCGGAUUGAGGGCUGCAACUCGCCCUCAUGAAGCCGGAAUCGCUAGUAACCGUGAAUCAGCCUCGUCACGGUGAAUACGUUCUCAGGUUUUGUACACACCGCCCGUCACGCCAUGGAAGCGGGGAGCGGAUGAAAUUCCCGUUUACUCUGGAACUAGUCCGAUACUCGUAACUGGGGCGAAGUCGUAACAAGGCAUCGGUAGCGGAAGCUGUCGAUG
rnacentral:rRNA from 1 species